rnacentral:rRNA from 1 species
UACAGAGGGUGCGAGCGUUAAUCGGAAUUACUGGGCGUAAAGCGUGCGUAGACGGUUACAUAAGUCGGGUGUGAAAGCCCCGGGCUCAACCUGGGAAUUGCAUUCGAGACUGCGUAGCUAGAGUACGGAAGAGGCAAGUGGAAUUCCUGGUGUAGCGGUGGAAUGCGCAGAUAUCAGGAGGAACACCUAUAGCGAAGGCAGCUUGCUGGGACGUUACUGACGCUAAGGCGCGAAAGCGUGGGGAGCGAACAGG